GCCGACGUGGCUCAGUGGUAGAGCAGCUGUUUCGUAAACAGCAGGUCACCGGUUCGAAUCCGGUCGUCGGCU
rnacentral:tRNA from 1 species